UACGUAGGGGGCAAGCGUUGUCCGGAAUUAUUGGGCGUAAAGAGCGCGUAGGCGGUCCGAUAAGUCGGCUGUGAAAGUCAAGGGCUCAACCCUUGAAUGCCGGUGGAUACUGCAGGGCUAGAGUCCGGAAGAGGCGAGUGGAAUUCCUGGUGUAGCGGUGAAAUGCGCAGAUAUCAGGAGGAACACCGAUGGCGAAGGCAGCUCGCUGGGACGAUACUGACGCUCAUGCACGAAAGCGUGGGGAGCAAACAGG
rnacentral:rRNA from 1 species